rnacentral:rRNA from 1 species
GUCAUAUGCUUGUCUCAAAGAUUAAGCCAUGCAUGUCUCAGUACAAGCCGCAUUAAGGUGAAACCGCAAAAGGCUCAUUAAAUCAGUUAUGGUUCCUUAGAUCGUACCCACAAUUACUUGGAUAACUGUGGUAAUUCUAGAGCUAAUACAUGCAAACAGGGCUCCGACCGGAGACGGGAGGAGCGCUUUUAUUAGAUCAAAACCAAUAGGUGGCGGGUUCACUGAGCUCGUCAUCGUACAACUUGGUGACUCUGAAUAACUUUCCGCUGAUCGCACGGUCAUCGCACCGGCGACGCAUCUUUCAAAUGUCUGCCUUAUCAACUGUCGAUGGUAGGUUCUGCGCCUACCAUGGUUGUAACGGGUAACGGGGAAUCAGGGUUCGAUUCCGGAGAGGGAGCCUGAGAAACGGCUACCACAUCCAAGGAAGGCAGCAGGCGCGCAAAUUACCCACUCCCGGCACGGGGAGGUAGUGACGAAAAAUAACGAUACGGGACUCAUCCGAGGCCCCGUAAUCGGAAUGAGUACACUCUAAACCCUUUAACGAGGAUCAAUUGGAGGGCAAGUCUGGUGCCAGCAGCCGCGGUAAUUCCAGCUCCAAUAGCGUAUAUUAAAGUUGUUGCGGUUAAAAAGCUCGUAGUCGAAUUUGUGUCUCGCGCCGCCGGUUCAUCGUCCGCGGUGUUAACUGGCGAGUCGCGAGACGUCCUGCCGGUGGGCUUAGCCCGCGAGGGCGGCGGCCCAACUCAAUCCUGCCGCGGUGCUCUUCAUUGAGUGUCGAGGUGGGCCGGCACGUUUACUUUGAACAAAUUAGAGUGCUUAAAGCAGGCCAAAACUUUGCCUGAAUAUUGUGUGCAUGGAAUAAUUGAAUAGGACCUCGGUUCUACUUUGUUGGUUUUCGGAACCCCGAGGUAAUGAUUAAUAGGAACGGAUGGGGGCAUUCGUAUUGCGACGUUAGAGG